UGGGGAAUCUUCCGCAAUGGGCGAAAGCCUGACGGAGCAAUGCCGCGUGAACGAAGAAGGCCUUCGGGUUGUAAAGUUCUGUCCUAGCCGAAGAGAGAGAAUGAGAGGAACUGCUCGUUCUAGGACGGUAGGCUAGGAGGAAGCCCGCGUAACUACGUGCCAGCAGCCGCGGUAAAACGUAGGGCGAAGCGUUGUCCGGAAUCACUGGGCGUAAAGGGCGCGUAGGCGGCAAUAUAAGUCAGGUGUGAAAAGUGAGGGCUCAACCGUUAGAGUGCACCUGAUACUGUAUAGCUUGAGUAUGGGAGAGGAAGCGGAAUUCCUAGUGUAGCGGUGAAAUGCGUAGAUAUUAGGAAGAACACCAGUGGCGAAGGCGGCUUUCUGGCCCAAAACUGACGCUGAGGCGCGAAAGCGUGGGGAGCAAACAGGAUUAGAUACCC
rnacentral:rRNA from 1 species